UUGAAGCCAGCUCGGUGGUGGGCUUUCCAUUCCACACCGAGGCCAGCGGCAGGCUCAGCUCAAACCCUGAGAGUCUGGCUCCAAACAGCUCCAGGAUAACUGCAGUCUCAGAGAAGACCCCCAGAAACCCAAAAUGCUUCCAGCCACAGAGGAGGAGAGCAGCUGGCAGCCAGAAGCAUCCAUUCCAACUGAGAGACAUCGAAGGGAACAAGGCUUAACCGCCUUGUCUUUGAACAGCACUAAAUGAUUCAGCAAAAGGGAUGAGAGGAAACCUUUGGCCAUGUCACGGGUUCACAGCCAUCUGUAUAUGUUCCUAUAGUCCUGCUUUGUACCUCCAGCCUAAAUGAUGGGGAGGUCGUUUGAAGAUGAGACUGACCCUUCACUACAUGUGCUGCUUCCAACCCCAGAUUCCAUCAGGCUGCACUUCUGAGAUUCAGUGAACUCCCACUCAUCCUUCAAAACCUAUCUCAAUGUCGCUGCCAUAGCAAAGCCUUCCCUGGCCCCCUCGGGUAGGGAGGGUCUCUCUGUCCACUGGCAGGCCAAGAAGGCCAAGCUCUGCCCUCUGAGAAUCCAUCAGUGUCCCAAGCUGACUUUCCCUAGCCUCGUAUCCCUUCAUUCCAUGAAAGGGGAACUUAGGGUGGAGUGGAAAUUUUGAUCACCUAAAGGAACAAUAAUUGCUUUCAUUCAUUCAUUUAAACAAUAUGUAUUGAGCACCUACCAAGGACCAGGCCUUGUGCUAAGUGCCCCCACAGAGGUCACAAUAGUCAUAUACUACAAACAAAUACAGCAUCACAAAGGUUGGCGCAUGAAGAGACAGCAGCUAAGGGCAUGGUCCUGGAGCCAGAAUGCCUGGAUUUGAAUCACAGCUCUACUACUUCCCAGCAGCUUGUUGAGCUUAGCCAAGUCUCUAAACCCCUCUGAGCCUCAGCUUUAUCACCUGUAAAAUAGGGAUAAAAA
rnacentral:lncRNA from 1 species